GUGCCAGCAGCCGCGGUAAUACGGGGGGUGCAAGCGUUACUCGGAAUCACUGGGCGUAAAGAGAAUGUAGGCUGGUUAUUAAGUUGGAAGUGAAAUCCUAUGGCUCAACCAUAGAACUGCUUCCAAAACUGAUUACCUAGAAUAUGGGAGAGGUAGAUGGAAUUUCUGGUGUAGGGGUAAAAUCCGUAGAGAUCAGAAGGAAUACCGAUUGCGAAGGCGAUCUACUGGAACAUUACUGACGCUGAGAUGCGAAAGCGUGGGGAGCAAACGAGGAUUAGAUACCCUGGUAGUCCACGCCCUAAACGAUGCACACUAGUUGUUGCUAUGCUAGACAUAGCAGUAAUGCAGUUAACACAGUAAGUGUGCCGCCUGGGGAGUACGGUCGCAAGAUUAAAACUCAAAGGAAUUGGCGG
rnacentral:rRNA from 1 species